GUGCUCACUUUGGCAGCACACAUACUAAAAUUGGAAUGAUACAAAGAAGAUUAGCAUGGCCCCAGUACAAGGAUGACAUGCAAAUUUGUGAAGCAUUCCAUAUUUUU
rnacentral:snRNA from 1 species